UACGUAGGUGGCAAGCGUUGUCCGGAUUUACUGGGCGUAAAGAGCGCGCAGGCGGUCGUUCAAGUCGGGUGUGAAAGCCCCCGGCUCAACUGGGGAGGGUCAUUCGAUACUGAUCGACUCGAAGGCAGGAGAGGGUAGUGGAAUUCCCGGUGUAGUGGUGAAAUGCGUAGAUAUCGGGAGGAACACCAGUGGCGAAGGCGACUACCUGGCCUGUUCUUGACGCUGAGGCGCGAAAGCUAGGGGAGCAAACGGG
rnacentral:rRNA from 1 species